rnacentral:rRNA from 1 species
GUGCCAGCCGCCGCGGUAAUACGGAGGGGGCUAGCGUUGUUCGGAAAUACUGGGCGUAAAGCGAACGUAGGCGGCGUGGCAAGUCAGGGGUGAAAUCCCAGAGCUCAACUCUGGAACUGCCUUUGAAACUGCUUCGCUAGAAUCCUGGAGAGGCGAGUGGAAUUCCGAGUGUAGAGGUGAAAUUCGUAGAUAUUCGGAAGAACACCAGUGGCGAAGGCGACUCGCUGGACAGGUAUUGACGCUGAGGUUCGAAAGCGUGGGGAGCAAACAGGAUUAGAUACCCUAGUAGUCC